rnacentral:lncRNA from 1 species
ACCCAUCAUUGUCCAGGGGUUUGAGAGAAGGCCUUUUAUUACUGUAUUUCUUUUCCCUUUCCUCAAAGAAACCUCCACCCAGCUCGGGUGCCAGUGCAGCUGAGGACCAGCCUAAUCCUGCCACACUCACUGCUGCAGAAGGUGCAAGGAAAGCUUUGUUACUUCGUGGGGGCUGAUGAGCAGAAGCACAAGAGGCUCAGAACUGCCGGGAGGGAGGGUUGAUCGCUACUGGAACCAGCUGUUAGCUCCAGGUGGUAGGGCUUCCCCAGGUGAGACGCGUGAUGGGCCAGGCAGGAGGCUACAAAAAGGGGCUGGAUGGCAGGUUCUUGGUUUUGGAUGGGAAAGGACCGGUGAGGAAGAUGGGGGCUGUCUUCUUUUAGCUGGGUUUUCACCAGAGCAGCGGAGCUUUGAUUCAAAGCGUUGCAGAGAAAAGGGUGCACUGCAAAAGCGUCUGCUCUUAGAAACUUAA